rnacentral:lncRNA from 1 species
GCAGUUAUAAUCUCUCUGGAACUAGAAUUUAAACAAGACAAGAUCAUCUGUGCCUGGUGAGAGCCCUCAGCAGACAGAGGUCAAGAAUGAGCCUUCUUAGUUAGUACUCUGAUUUCCUAAGCCAAGACCAAAGGAUGAAGAACCUCAGAUGGCUGAGAACAGGAUAUAAGUUACAGGAACAUAUGCCUUUUUCAAGAUAUUUAGAAAUUUCACUUCUCCUGAUUUUAGAAUCCUGCUUUUGCAACUCAAAGGAAAAGCUUUCAGCUUGCAUCUAAAACUAUGUUAAAGGAGACAUUUCUCUUUAAUUCCUGCAGUUACCUUAGAUGUGAGACUUUAAUCAGGAGCCUGCAAAGUCAGUGCAGUAACUUUCAUAUGGCAGAAGAGUCCUCAAUGCUCAGAAAGGUAAUAACAGAUCUUGUAAUGCCCACACUUACUAUCAGUGGUGUGAAAGAACUUGGCUGGGGAGCUGUAGCAUGGAUGAAGUGUCCUGAGAUGUCUGAUUGCAAUAAUGGCUCCAGGUGACAGUUAACAGCUGGUACAAGUUAAAGAAAUGUUCAUGCUGCUGAAUCAUCUGCUUGCAUCACAGUGGUGUAGCAGAGCCUGCUCUUUCAGUUGCAUUAGGUCUUACUGCUGUUAAUUAAUUUUUUCUCACUUGAGCAAGAUAACAGACUACUGUGUUCCUGAGUCUGCAGACAGUUUCAUUCACUUGAUCACAGGGAUGAACUUUUGCAUUAAAAACAGUAUUAAUAAUAAAUUGACAGGUGACAUCUGUUUCA